UACGGAGGGGGCUAGCGUUGUUCGGAAUUACUGGGCGUAAAGCGCGCGUAGGCGGAUCUGCAAGUCGGGGGUGAAAUCCCGAGGCUCAACCUCGGAACUGCCUUCGAUACUGCGGGUCUCGAGUCCGGGAGAGGUGAGUGGAAUUCCUAGUGUAGAGGUGAAAUUCGUAGAUAUUAGGAAGAACACCAGUGGCGAAGGCGGCUCACUGGCCCGGUACUGAACGCUG
rnacentral:rRNA from 1 species